ACAGCCAUAUUAUGUUGAAACACAGGUUCCUGUAUGAUCACCAAAAUUAAGCAACAUUGUGCUUGGUCAGUACCUAGAUGGGUGACUGUCAGGGAAUACAAUGUGCUGUAAU